rnacentral:rRNA from 1 species
GACGAACGCUGGCGGCGUGCUUAACACAUGCAAGUCGAACGGAAAGGCCCUGCUUUUGUGGGGUGCUCGAGUGGCGAACGGGUGAGUAACACGUGAGUAACCUGCCCUUGACUUUGGGAUAACUUCAGGAAACUGGGGCUAAUACCGGAUAGGAGCUCCUGCUGCAUGGUGGGGGUUGGAAAGUUUCGGCGGUUGGGGAUGGACUCGCGGCUUAUCAGCUUGUUGGUGGGGUAGUGGCUUACCAAGGCUUUGACGGGUAGCCGGCCUGAGAGGGUGACCGGCCACAUUGGGACUGAGAUACGGCCCAGACUCCUACGGGAGGCAGGAGGGGGGAAUUUUGCACAAGGGGCGGAAGCCUGAUGGAGCAACGCCGCGGGGGGGAGGACGGCCUUCGGGUUGUAAACCGCUUUCGCCUGUGACGAAGCGGGGGUGGGGGUAAUGGGUAAAGAAGCACCGGCUAACUACGU